ACGACCAUAGGGUGUGGAAAACAGGGCUUCCCGUCCGCUCAGCCGUACUUAAGCCACACGCCGGCCGGUUAGUAGUUGGGUGGGUGACCACCAGCGAAUCCCGGCUGUUGUACGUU
rnacentral:rRNA from 2 species